rnacentral:rRNA from 1 species
CAGUAGCCGCGGGAAUACGGAGGGUGCAAGCGUUAAUCGGAAUUACUGGGCGUAAAGCGCACGCAGGCGGUCUGUCAAGUCAGAUGUGAAAUCCCCGGGCUUAACCUGGGAACUGCAUUUGAAACUGGCAGGCUAGAGUCUUGUAGAGGGGGGUAGAAUUCCAGGUGUAGCGGUGAAAUGCGUAGAGAUCUGGAGGAAUACCGGUGGCGAAGGCGGCCCCCUGAACAAAGACUGACGCUCAGGUGCGAAAGCGUGGGGAGCAAACAGGAUUAGAUACCCCAGUAGUCCCUGUCUCUUAUAC